UGAGAAGUCAAAAACGACAGAAGUGAUUUCAACACUUCCGAUAUUUCCUGCGUUUCUGGAGCGUGUUUCUUAACCCAGACUUUGUGUUAGUCUGUGCUACUGUGCUUCUGCACAUUUCAUCAGUUGGAAAGAUAUCUUUAUGUCCUUCAAAAUGAUCUUCCUAGUUUCUGACACAGUUCUGUUGUUACCUUCCUGUGAGAGAAUAGUGGAAAUACGAUCCUCAGCUGUACGAUUUUGCAGCCAUGCUAUGCACCUGGAAAAACUGCCCUUCACACUAGAGUAUCUGUAA
rnacentral:lncRNA from 1 species